rnacentral:rRNA from 1 species
GUAUCCUUCUGGCAAGGGUACUGUACUAAACUAACUAAAGUGGGGGAUAGUGAGGGGAUAAAUUUUCUUAAGGAACUCGGCAAAAUCCCAAUGGCCCACCAGGGCAUAUUGGAACACGGGCCUCGACUGUUUACCAAAAACAUAGCCCUCGGCUAAUAUGAAAAUAGAUGUAUAGAGGGUGAUGCCUGCCCAAUGGUUGUAUCUAAAAGCGGUUGAUAAAAGUUGACCUCGUAAGGACAAUUGAAUGGCCGCGGUAACACUGACCGUGAUAAUGUAGCGUAAUCAAUAGCCAAUUAAUUGUUGGCCAGUAUGAAUGGCGCCACGAAGGCCCCACUGUCUUAAGGAAAUUCCCAGUGAAAUUGAAUUCGUAGUGAAGAUGCUACGUCCAAUUUGUUAGACGAAAAGACCCCGUUGAGCUUUACUGGAGCACUUACAUGGCCCCGGCCUUCCCAUGCCUGGGAACCGGCCGAAUUUAAAUGGGCGGCUUAGAUUAUGUGGCAGCCCCCCGCUGGGGCAAAUGAAACACCACUCCCCCAUGUCAAAGGGGCUAACCCCCCCCCUUGGGGGGACAGUGUAAGUAGGACAGUUUGGUUGGGGCGACCACCUUUUAAAAAGUAACGAAGGUGCGCUUAAGGUGCGCAAUUAAUGACUGAAGCCUGACUGCGAGGGGGACACCCCGAGCAGACACCCCAAAGCCCGCCCGAAAGGCGGCGGUGGGGUGGGCCAUACUGACCCGUUAAUUUAGAGUGGAAUAGUUAACGAUCAACGAAUAAAAGUUACCACGGGGAUAACAGCGUAAUAUCGUUAGAGAGUUCACAUCGACGACGAUGUUUGCGACCUCGAUGUUGAAUUGCGGCAUCCUGGGGUGCAGCCGCUC